ACAGCUGCCUGUUUUGAGACACGUCCCACAGCACACGUGCGACGACCGCUUGCAUGCGGUUUGCUAAAUACACAGAGCUUCCACACGCUUUCGUUUAAAGCACAGAUCUUCGUAUUUAGGCUGUGGAAUUCUUUCAAAUAUAUGUCAUCUUACUGGAUUUCAUUUCACCUAUUUUUGGUGUGAAACCGAGGGUGCUAGGUGAGAACAAAGCUACCGCGGUUGACCAGCAACAAAUAACGGGAUGAACGUCUAGCCAGUGACGUCACGAUGACGUCUCGACGUCUGCAAGGCAUAUUGACUGUUUGGAGAGAUGGCGGACGAGAAUAGCUCUCGUAUAGCGGUGUCUGGCGGCAUCCGCGUAGCUGACCUGGCGACGGCGGAUGGAGUGUACAACCGGCCAGUCGGCCCUGAGGGGGCUUUUGAUAAGUAGGAAAGAUGGUCUCAUAUCGGUCAACCGUUCUCAGCACAGCAACCGAUCCAUGACCGCUAUUUGAGGUCGUCUAAGCGCUCGGGCACUAGGGCAAAAGUUGCUGUGGGAGCCCAACGUGCCAGACGGCUAGGCUGGGGUGGGCGUGCAACAUCGAUUGUGACGUAAGCAUUCUGCAAGUACAAACAGAGGGAUAUCAGCCAAUGGGACGCCUGGGCGCUGAAGUGGGGGUAAAGGAGGCCAGAGACUAGCCAACAUGAUAUGAUAUGCUGGCCAUAAUAGUCAAAAGUUUCCUGUUUGUUUAUUUGAACUACAUUUGGUUUGCUUUCAACGGAUUGGUUGCGCGUUAACUUGCUUGUACAUGUCAUGUCUUUGUACAGGAGAUAAACUAUUGGUAUUAUUCUUUAAAAAAUAGAACAGGAACAAAUGUUUGCAUUUCUUUUCCAAUCAAUACGUGAAAAAAACUAGAACGGUGGGACAGUGUAACUGGAGCUUCGCUCAGCAAUUCACUACAUCGUCUGAGACUAUUCC